GGCACAUUCGUGAUCUACCCUGUAGAUCCGGGCUUUUGUAGAUUAAUUACAUCAGAAGCUCGUCUCUACAGGUAUCUCACGGCUGGAA
rnacentral:pre_miRNA from 1 species